rnacentral:tRNA from 1 species
AACCUAUUAGCUCAAAUGGUAGAGCAAUGUGUCAUUGCACAUGGAUAUAGGUUCAAAUCCUACAUAGGUUG